rnacentral:rRNA from 1 species
AUGGGGAACACCUGCGCCGGCCCCAGCGCCGGCCCCAGCGCCACGGCGGACCGCCACGGAUUCUUCAGCACCGUCUCCGUCGCCGUACUGUGGCGCCCCGGCGCCGCCCGCGCCGAGCCGGCGGUCCCACCGCCCGACUCCUGCCCCUCCAUGUGCUCCUCCACCUCGUCCGCGGGCCCCGAUCUCGACGACUCCGACCUCUCCCCUCCCUCCUCCGACCCAAACAAGCCCAAGGUAAAGCGCGUCCAGAGCGCCGGCCUCAUCGCCGAAUCCGUCCUCAAGCGCGACUCAGAGCGCAUCAAGGACCUCUACACCCUAGGCAAGAAGCUGGGGCAGGGCCAGUUUGGCACCACCUACAAGUGCGUCGAAAAGGCCACGGGGAAGGAGUUCGCCUGCAAGUCCAUCGCAAAGCGGAAGCUCGUCACCGAGGAGGACGUCGAGGAUGUGCGCCGCGAGAUCCAGAUUAUGCACCACCUCGCCGGCCACCCGAACGUGAUCUCCAUCGUCGGGGCUUACGAGGAUGCUGUUGCCGUGCACCUCGUCAUGGAGCUCUGUGCGGGAGGGGAGCUGUUCGACAGGAUCAUACAGCGGGGGCACUACUCUGAGAAGGCCGCCGCGCAGCUGGCUAGGGUGAUCAUUGGGAUUGUGGAGGCUUGCCAUUCUCUUGGGGUCAUGCACAGAGACCUCAAGCCAGAGAAUUUCUUGUUUGUCAACCAAAAGGAGGACUCGCCACUCAAGACCAUUGAUUUCGGGCUCUCUAUCUUUUUCAAACCAGGUGGAAUUUAUUCAGAUGUCGUUGGAAGUCCUUACUAUGUCGCCCCUGAGGUUCUGCUGAAACAGUAUGGCUGCGAAGUGGAUGUUUGGAGUGCCGGAGUAAUAAUUUAUAUCUUGUUGAGCGGGGUCCCUCCAUUCUGGGAUGAAUCUGAGCAAGGGAUAUUUGAACAAGUUUUGCAAGGUGAUCUUGAUUUUUCAUCCGAGCCCUGGCCCAGUAUCUCAAAGAGUGCAAAGGAUUUGGUUAGGAAAAUGCUGAACCGUGAUCCCGGAAAGAGAUUGACUGCACAUGAAGCUCUAUGUCAUCCUUGGGUUUGUGUUGAUGGAGUUGCUCCUGACAAGCCACUUGAUUCUGCUGUCUUAACUAGAUUAAAACAAUUUUCAGCAAUGAAUAAACUAAAGAAGAUGGCCCUUAGAGUAAUUGCCGAGAAUCUGUCUGAAGAUGAAAUUGCAGGAUUAAGAGAGAUGUUCAAAAUGCUCGAUACUGACAAUAGUGGCCAAAUCACAUUGGAGGAACUAAAAACUGGCUUGCAGAGAGUUGGUGCCAACUUAAAAGAGUCAGAAAUCGCAACUCUAAUGGAAGCGGCGGAUAUUGAUAACAGUGGGUCAAUUGAUUAUGGGGAAUUCCUUGCGGCAACAUUGCAUCUGAACAAGGUCGAGAGAGAAGAUAAUUUGUUUGCAGCAUUCUCAUACUUCGAUAAAGAUGGCAGUGGUUACAUUACUCAAGAUGAACUGCAAAAAGCAUGUGAAGAGUUUGGUAUAGGAGAUGCACAUCUUGACGAUAUUAUCCGAGACAUUGAUCAAGACAAUGAUGGUCGGAUCGACUACAAUGAAUUUGUAACAAUGAUGCAGAAGGGGAAUAAUCCACUAGGGAAAAAGGGACAAGGGCAGAUGAGCUUUGGUCUUAGGGAAGCAUUGAAGAUACGCUAG